AGAGUUUGAUCAUGGCUCAGAGUUAACGCUGGCAUCGUGCAUAACACAUGCAAGUCGAACGGGACUUUGCUCUGUAGCAAUACAGAGUAAAGUUUAGUGGCAGACGGGUGAGUAAUGUAUAAGAAACCUACCUUCGAGUGGGGAAUAACAGUCCGAAGGGAUUGCUAAUACCCCAUAACAUAAUGAAAAGGCAUCUUUUUUAUUAUCAAAGAUUUAUCGCUUGGAGAUGGUCUUAUAUUCUAUCAGCUAGUUGGCAGUGUAACGGACUACCAAGGCUACGACGGAUAGCCGGCCUGAAAGGGCGACCGGCCACAAGGGCACUGAGACACGGGCCCUACUCCUACGGGAGGCAGCAGUGGGGAAUUUUGGACAAUGGGCGCAAGCCCUGAUCCAGCAACGAUGCGUGGAGGAUGAAGGUUCUCGGAUUGUAAACUCCUUUUGUAAGGGAAGAAAAAAUGACGGUACCUUACGAAUAAGCCACGGCUAACUACGUGCCAGCAGCCGC
rnacentral:rRNA from 1 species